rnacentral:lncRNA from 1 species
GGUGCCUCCCGCCUCUCCUCCCCCAGACCUGGGGCGGUAAGUCUCCCAACCCACCGCCAGGACGCCUCCCCGAGGCCUCAGUCCGCACUCUCACCCGCUCCAGGAGGUGCAGGUGAAGGUGAUGGAGGCUGCGGAGGAGCUGGACGCCUGGCAGAGUGGCCGGGAACUGUAAGGGAGUUGGGCUUGCGGGCGCGGCGGGGCACUGUGGGGCCGGGCCGGGCUGGGCUCCCACCUGCAUGCCUGUCCCCGCAGGUGUGACGGGCAGCUUCGCAGAGUGCAGUACAGCACCGAGUCGCUCAUGGAGGAGAUGGCCAGGGCGGACCGAGAGACGCGGCUGUUCGGCGGUCCUCGCGCGCUGGCCAUCAGGCGCUGCUGACGCUGCCGCUCCUCUUCCUGGGGCUGUCGCUGCUCUGGACGGUGCUGUUGGACCCCGGCGCCGUCUCCGCGUGGCUCUGGAGCCUCACCUCGGAGACGACGCUGCGCCGCCUGCGCUACACGCUGUCCCCGCUGCUGGAGCUGCGCGCUAACGGGCUGCUGCCAACCUAAGUGCAGCGCCCCGCGCCUGGCUCCAGGUGGACUCCAGGGCACCGGCUUUAUUUCUGGUGCACUCCUCU